AAUCCAAUUGUCUUCAACCGUCCUAACCGCCUAAUCAAUUCUAACUGUCGCCAACUGUCACAAAUUGUCAUUGAAUAUAACUAACUCUUAACUAAACCAUAACCUCCACAACUUCAACAACCUCCAUAUAACUGACAACUGAUUCUUCACCCGGGAGCUUCUUCUUCCAUCUCCAUCACAACCCAAAGCUCACCCUAACGACUUCACUCACCAUCAUCUUCACCAUAAUUCAACAAUUCACAAAUUCUUCAACCAUUCCUCUUCUCUUCUUCACCCUCUAACAAAACCUCACCCUUCACUCUCUUCACGCUCUCCACCCUCUGAAAAUUUCUUCACCAACCUUCGGUCUCCCCUACACGAGUCUCACCCCCACUUUCUCAUCCGAUAAACCAAAACUCUAAGAAUUCUGCAGAAAACUUUUCCCUACAACCUGCAUAACAGAAAGCCGGUAUAACAGAGUUAUCAAAAAAAGAACCUUUUUCUUCUUCCUUCAAUCCGCAACUUCAAUUCUGCUUUCCAUCUUCGAAGCUCCAUUGCGCCACGAGUACACUUUCCCUCUUCGCUCUCGGUUUAGCCGAUUCUGCAAGAACUCACAGAACGAACAAUCAACCACAACCACGACUUCCAGAACCAAGCGCAAAAAACUGAAUCAAAAAGAAAACAGCACAACAGAAGGAGAAGCAGAAUCGCGAAAUAGACGAAGAAGAUUGGAAAGAGCGUAGAACCGAGUUGAACGUAAUGAAAAAGCCGAAGCACAAAGCGAAUCCAGAGAAGUCAUAUUCACCUUCAACGACAACGCGUUGUACGGUAAGUCGUCAUUCUUCUUUGCUACUCGCAUAACAUUCCGGUUUGGGGAUUUGAUUACGACGGCAAGAUGAGAUUCCUUUGGUCGUGGAUGAGGAAAGUUAUCCGCUUUUGACCGGAUUUCCGGGAUGGGAAUAAGAUUCUAGUGAGGAUAGCUUCAUUACCUCCGUUUUCCCUAAAUUCUCUGGCGUAUUCUUGAGCAUGGAAGGACAGAGGAUUCAACCCUGGUUUCGAUUUCGAUUCGACAUGUAAAUUAUACAUGGAUUCACUCGUUGUUCAUGAUUUUUCGAUGGAGUGGUGGAAGCGAAUUUGUUAGUUUUUGAGGUAGGGCGUUGAAUCUGGUUUCGAUUUCGAUUCGACAUGUAAAUUAUACAUGGAUUCACUCGUUGUUCAUGAUUUUUCGAUGGAGUGGUGGAAGCGAAUUUGUUAGUUUUUGAGGUAGGGCGUUGAAUCGAAUGAGGAAGACGACGAUACGUUGGACCGAUGCUUCUUGGACAUGGUUGUGAGGACGGUGGUAGUAGAAUUAUGGACCCGGGUUGAUUCCUGGCAUCUUGAGCUCAGGCCCCAUGUAUUUUGUUAACCACACCCCUUCAACCAUAUCGCACACCAGGCCCAUUGGUUCAUGAUUUAUUUUCUUAAUUAUAUUGAAAACAUAUGAUUAACCCCUUGAUUAAUUAUUUUUAACUUCAUUUUUUUGGUAUUAAUCUUGCUGAUUAAAUCUUGUUC
rnacentral:lncRNA from 1 species